GUGGGAUUCUUCUGGGGAAAAAAAAAAACUCUAACAUGAGGUUCUUAGGGGUAGAGAACUGAAAAUAUCACCAAAGCCUGAUCCACUUGCUUAUUCUAAUUUUAAAACUCAUUCCUAAGAUCUCUAAGUACAUACAUUCACAUCCACCCCAUGUGAAAACAAAAGAGAAAAUUACGUAGUUCCAAAGACAACUAAUGAUUUAUAGUGUAAAAUCUGAAAGUUGCUUUUUCAUGGGAUCGGUUUGUUGAAUCAUAAUUUAACUUACAUUUUUAUGUGCAGGAACAGGAAUCCUCAGGGUCUGGAAAAGGAAAGGUCAAAUAAUUAUUUUUAAAGCCCUCAAUCAUUCAUAACUUUCAUUAUUAUGCUUGCUAGUGAUGUGGUUUUCACCUAUGCUCAUAAUUUUGUUAUUUAUAACGGAUCUUUAUACACAGUAAAUGAAAUACCACAUAUAAUUAUGCAUUUUAAAGAAAUGCAGGAAUGAAAAAGACUUACCUCAUUGCCUAUUAGCACCGUUUGAUGAGUGGAAAGCAGGGUCAAAGUCUCUUUCACCAAUGUACUCAUGGGAAUUUCCAAGGCCAAGGCACAAGUGUAGGCAGCUCCAAGAGCUACCAAACUCAAGCGCAGCAGCAUCCCCAUGGCUUGAAAUGCUCACAGUUUGCAAAGAAAGCUAAGAAAGUGCUUAGCAUGAGAUUGCAUCCCCA
rnacentral:lncRNA from 1 species